AACCUCUUAUGGUUUCUCCUCAGCGAGGUUGCUCAGUGCAGUGUUGGUUGAAGUUGUUCAUCUUCAUGUCCCCGGCAGUGCAGCAUUCUUCCUCCAAGUCCCUGUUAGCCCCUAUUGUGGUGCGUCCCCAGUAGAGUGCUGUUUGAGACCUAUUGUGGGGCAUCCCCAGCAAGUUUGCUGUUGGAACAUCCUUGUGGGCCAGUUCCCAAGCAGAGUGUUUAUUGAAGACUUCAACUUUCGUCUCUCCAGCAGAGCAGUCUUCUCCUCUCCCCGGCAUGGGUGCUUGUCUUUGGAAGAUUCAGUAUUUGGUGGAUUGACA
rnacentral:lncRNA from 1 species